rnacentral:lncRNA from 1 species
AUGCCCGGUGCUGGCACCCUGCCUGUCCUGGCAGUGGGUGCUGCAGCCACAUGCUCGCUCCCAGCCCGCCGAGCUGCCCUGCUGCCACCGGCACCACCACACCAGCCUGCGGCGGGGUGGGCACAGCGGAGCCCAGCCCCGGCUGGCUCCCGGGCAUGCAGCACGGGGGAACUGCAAAGCACAGCCACCACACUCGGCACAGGGCUGCCGGUGUCCGCAGGGAAGCCGGAGCAGCGAUGCCGGGACAGCGCAGCCCUUACCUUCCAUGUCAAUGAUGGCCAGCACGGCGCUGGUCAUGGCCUCUCCGCGCUCGUUCUCGGCAAUGCACGUGUAGACGCCGGCGUCCUCCUUCUUGCUGUCGCGGAUCCACAGCGUGCCGUACUCCUCCUCGCGCGGGGCGAGCUGCUCCUCGUUCCUGUACCAGCGCAGGCUGGGCCGGGGGUUCCCCACCGCCACCACCCGCAGCCGGAUGUCACAGCCCGUGCCGAUGGCCGCGUUCUUCAGCUUCCGCACGAAGGCCGGCGCCGCCAGGCGAGCGGGGCCCCCCUCGGCCGCCCCCUGCUCCGCCGUGACCUUGGCUCUCUUCGGGGGGAUGCCGGGGCUCGGCGGGGCCGCCCCUGCUCUCCCCAUCGGCCGCCCGGGCUCCCCGCCGGCCCCGCUCGUGCCGCCGCGUGCCUGCGCUCGGUGCAUGGCGCACGGCUCCCCGGUGCGCUCUGGCAGCCCCGCGGCCCCGACCCCACAGCCCCGUGCCCCUCUUCUCUUCUCGGGCCGCUGGGUGCCUGCCAAGGGGUGCCGGUGGCGAGGCGGCUCCCCGCUCCAGGUGCCGUCCGCUUCGGUGCCUCCCCCCGGCCGGCCGCAGCCCCGAAGGUCGCAGCGCCGUGGGCAAGCUGGGGGCUAUUUUUAGGCCGGGGGCUCAGGUUGCUGCUCGCUGCGUCGCCGGUCACCGAGCACCCUGGGUGGUGCCGCGCCCCCGCCCCAUGCUCCGCCGCGACCCCGGCCCUCCCUGCGCCUCGGCACCUGCUCCGCCGCCUGCCCCGGUGCGGGUCCCGCGGGUGCCGGCGCUGCCCCGGUGCUGGGGCCGUGGUGUCCCCCCCUCGCCUGUCCCACGCGGCCCCCGCAGAGCUGCGCUCCCUCUGCCCCCUCUCCUCAAGUGGCAGCUGCCUCUGA